rnacentral:rRNA from 1 species
UACGGAGGGAGCUAGCGUUGUUCGGAAUUACUGGGCGUAAAGCGCGCGUAGGCGGUUACUCAAGUCAGAGGUGAAAGCCCGGGGCUCAACCCCGGAACUGCCUUUGAAACUAGGUAACUAGAAUCUUGGAGAGGUCAGUGGGAUUCCGAGUGUAGAGGUGAAAUUCGUAGAUAUUCGGAAGAACACCAGUGGCGAAGGCGACUGACUGGACAAGUAUUGACGCUGAGGUGCGAAAGCGUGGGGAGCAAACAGG